CGAAGAGAAAACGCGUGAUUUUCGGGUUAAAUGGGGGAUUUGCGAAGAGAAAACGCGUGAUUUUCGGUUAAAUGGGGGAUUUGCGAAGAGAAAACGCGUGAUUUUCGCUUAAAUGGGGGAUUUGCGAAGAGAAAACGCGUGAUUUUCGGGUAAAAUGGGGGAUUCUCGAAGAGAAAAACGUGGUUUCCGCUUAAAUGGGGGAUUCUCGAAGAGAAAACACGUGAUUUUUGCUUAAAUGGGGGAUUUGCAAAGAGAAAACGCGUGAUUUUUGGUUAAAUGGGGGAUUUGCGAAGAGAAAACGCGUGAUUUUCGGGUUAAAUGGGGGAUUCUCGAAGAGAGAACACGUGAUUUUCGCUUAAAUGGGGGAUUUGCGAAGGGAAAACACGUGAUUUUUGGGUUAAAUGGGGGAUUUGUGAAAAGGAAAAGCGUGAUUUUCGGAUAAAUGGGGGAUUCUUGAAGAGAAAACGCGUGAUUUUCGCUUAAAUGUGGCAUUUCUAAGAGAAAACACGUGAUUUUCGGGUUAAAUGGGGGAUUCUCAAAGAGAAAACGCGUGAUUUUCGGGUUAAAUGGGGAUUUGCGAAGAGAAAACACGUGAUUUUUGGGUUAAAUGGCGGAUUCUGAAAGAGAAAAUGCGUGAUUUUCGCUUAAAUGGGGGAUUUGCAAAAAGAAAACGCGUGAUUUUUGCAUACAUCGGUGAUUUGCAAAUAUAAAAAGCGUGAUUUUUGGGUUAAAUGGGGGAUUUGCAAAGAGAAAACGCGUGAUUUUCGGGUUAAAUGGGGGAUUUGCGAAGAGAAAACGCAUGAUUUUCGGGUUAAAUGGGAGAUUCUCGAAAAGAAAACGCGUGAUUUUCAGGUUAAAUGGGGGAUUCUCGAAGAGAGAACACGUGAUUUUCGCUUAAAUGGGGGAUUUGCGAAGGGAAAACACGUGAUUUUUGGGUUAAAUGGGGGAUUCUUGAAGAGAAAACGCGUGAUUUUCGGUUAAAUGGGGGAUUUGUGAAAAGGAAAAGCGUGAUUUUCGAAUUAAAUGGGGGAUUCUCGAAGAGAAAACGCGUGAUUUUCGGUUAAAUGGGGGAUUUGCGGGGAGAAAACACGUUUUUUUGGGGGUUAAAUGGGGGAUUCUCAAAGAGAAAACGCGUGAUUUUUGGGUUAAAUGGGGGAUUUGCGAAGAGAUAAGACGUGAUUUUCGGUUAAAUGGGGGAGUCUCGAAGAUAAAACGCAUGAUUUUCGGGUUAAAUGUGGGAUUUGCAAAGAGAAAACACGUGAUUUUCGCUUAAAUGUGGUAUUUGCAAAGAGAAAACGCGUGAUUUUCGCAUACAUGGGUGAUUUGCAAAUAGAAAAAGCGUGAUUUUUGGGUUAAAUGGGGGAUUUGCAAAGAGAAAACGCGUGAUUUUCGGGUUAAAUGGGGGAUUUGCGAAGAGAAAACGCGUGAUUUUCGGUUAAAUGGGGGAUUUGCGAAGAGAAAACACGUGAUUUUCGCUUAAAUGGGGAUUUG
ensembl:lncRNA